rnacentral:lncRNA from 1 species
UGUGGAUGUCAUAAUGAAUCUAUUGUUUGUUAAUGAUUCUGUAAGAGCUAAGGUGCACAAUAAUUUGUUUAUGGUAACAAAGGAGCUGGAAAACUUUUAAGUUGAUUGAUGAAAAAUAAUACCAUGGAUUUGAUUAUCUUGUCAUGGAGAGAGAUGUGGUGUGGACACUAUCAGCUUUGGUUCCACUGAAGGUGUUUAUUGGAGCUCUUUUCCUAGAACUGAUAAUUGGAUUCAUGGUAUUCUGGAGAACAAGAUUCAGUCUCACUUCUCUGAGUCAAUUUUCACCAGGCAGCAUCUAGGGAGGAUCGGCCAUUCAUCAAGCAACCAUGGACCUGGGUACAAUGAGGUCAUGGUAAGCUGUGGGAAUCUGACCUGCUCUCUGCUAGUGGAUGAAGCUACAUCAUUCAACUUCUUGCUGAGUUCCUUCACUGUGAAUUCUACUUCUUCAUUGAAACUAAAAGGAUGAUUCGACCAUCAACACUGUGGAAUGCAGGCAUUCUUCAAGACUGUAUUUUCCAGGCGAGACUUCACAGCAUUGUAAUCUCUGGGUCUGGAGGACUGCACACUUGCUUUUCUGAUGUCUGAGAGGGAGUGAGCUCAAAGAUCUCUUCUAUUUCUUUUAGCAUGAAGGGUAUACUGCCCACUUAGCAAUUCCUAUCCUCCCUUGACAUUCCACAGCUCCUUUUUAUUCACGGAGUGAUGCAGGUGUCAUUACUUCUCAGUUUCUGUCUUUUGUGAAUACUGGAGAUCCUCCUGAGGCAUGCCAUCUUAUCACCACAAGUCAAUAUUCAUUUGCUUUCUUCAAGGUGCAUAGCACCAGCCUAUAGUGCUCAUCAGAGACAGUCUCAUUGUCAAAGUGGUUAAGGAGGAAGUAUAAUUCCUGGCCUAAAAAUCAUUUGGCCUCCAGCCCCUGUGUGUCUACAUCCUAAAGAAAAUAAAUAACAAUUUUCCAAAUGGCUAUUUGCCACUUAAAACGAAAUCAGCUCUUGACAAUAAACCAAUUUAAC